GCUUGGCUGGCUCAGUUGGUGGAGCAUGAGAUUCCUGAUCUCAGGGUUGUGAGUUUGAGCCCCACAUUGGGUG
rnacentral:tRNA from 1 species